GAUGAACGCUAGUGGCAGGCUUAAUACAUGCAAGUCGUGGGGCAGCACAGUGUAGCAAUACAUGGGUGGCGACCGGCAAACGGGUGCGGAACACGUACGCAACCUUCCUUUAAGCGGAGAAUAGCCCAGGGAAACUUGGAUUAAUACUCCAUAAGAUUAUGGUGUGGCAUCACACAGUAAUUAAAGCUCCGGCACUUAAAGAUGGGCGUGCGGCUGAUUAGG
rnacentral:rRNA from 1 species